UCUGCAACCCGACUCCACGAAGUUGGAUUCGCUAGUAAUCGCGCAUCAGCCAUGGCGCGGUGAAUACGUUCCCGGGCCUUGUACACGCCGCCCGUCAAGCCAUGGGAGCCGGGAGCGCUUGAAGUGCGUCGCCGCGAGGCGCGCCCUAGAGCGAAACUGGUAACUGGGGCUAAGUCGUAACAAGGUACC
rnacentral:rRNA from 1 species